rnacentral:rRNA from 1 species
UUUUAUGGAGAGUUUGAUCCUGGCUCAGGAUGAACGCUGGCGGCGUGCCUAAUACAUGCAAGUCGAGCGAACGGACGAGAAGCUUGCUUCUCUGAUGUUAGCGGCGGACGGGUGAGUAACACGUGGAUAACCUACCUAUAAGACUGGGAUAACUUCGGGAAACCGGAGCUAAUACCGGAUAAUAUUUUGAACCGCAUGGUUCAAAAGUGAAAGACGGUCUUGCUGUCACUUAUAGAUGGAUCCGCGCUGCAUUAGCUAGUUGGUAAGGUAACGGCUUACCAAGGCAACGAUGCAUAGCCGACCUGAGAGGGUGAUCGGCCACAC